rnacentral:misc_RNA from 1 species
GUGAAUUAUAGGGCGUCGUUCACUUCGGUGACGAGCCUGACCUCCACUUUCUAACUCUGUGCAUUUUAUUGGUGAGCAACGAACGAACCCGUCCUCGGACGUGGCGAGCGAAGUGCUUACGGCUCAUUUUAAACACCAGUCAAAGUAUGUAACGAAAUAUCGAAACAAAAAA